AAAUAUUCCCCCAAACUUAAGUUCUUGUCUAACUUUAGUCAUCACUACUUAUUCUUGUCAUUCUUUCAUUCAAAGUAGCAUUAUCCUUUAAAGUCCCAUUAUGUAUCAAUUUAAACUCAAUCAAUCAACAAGUUGUUUUUACUGUGCUAUCAUUAUUAUCCUAGUUUCAAACAGAAAAAGAUUCAAUUCAUAACAAGAAAU
rnacentral:lncRNA from 1 species